rnacentral:rRNA from 1 species
UACGUAGGGUGCAAGCGUUACUCGGAAUUACUGGGCGUAAAGCGUGCGCAGGCGGCUAUGCAAGACAGAUGUGAAAUCCCCGGGCUCAACCUGGGAACUGCAUUUGUGACUGCAUAGCUAGAGUACGGUAGAGGGGGAUGGAAUUCCGCGUGUAGCAGUGAAAUGCGUAGAUAUGCGGAGGAACACCGAUGGCGAAGGCAAUCCCCUGGACCUGUACUGACGCUCAUGCACGAAAGCGUGGGGAGCAAACAGG